rnacentral:rRNA from 1 species
AUUGAACGCUGGCGGCAGGCCUAACACAUGCAAGUCGAGCGGAUGAAGGGAGCUUGCUCCUGGAUUCAGCGGCGGACGGGUGAGUAAUGCCUAGGAAUCUGCCUGGUAGUGGGGGCUAACGUCCGGAAACGGGCGCUAAUACCGCAUACGUCCUGAGGGAGAAAGUGGGGGAUCUUCGGACCUCACGCUAUCAGCUGAGCCUAGGUCGGAUUAGCUAGUUGGUGGGGUAAAGGCCUACCAAGGCGACGAUCCGUAACUGGUCUGAGAGGAUGAUCAGUCACACUGGAACUGAGACACGGUCCAGACUCCUACGGGAGGCAGCAGUGGGGAAUAUUGGACAAUGGGCGAAAGCCUGAUGCAGCCAGGCCGCGUGUGUGAAGAAGGUCUUCGGAUUGUAAAGCACUUUAAGUUGGGAGGAAGGACAGUAAGUUAAUACCUGGCUGUUUUGACGUUACCAACAGAAUAAGCACCGGCUAACUUCGUG